AAUACGUUCCCGGGCCUUGUACACACCGCCCGUCAAGCCAUGGAAGCUGGGAGUACCUGAAGUGCGUAACCGCAAGGAGCGUCCUAGGGUAAAUCGGUAACUGGGGCU
rnacentral:rRNA from 1 species